AUUGAACGCUGGCGGCAGGCCUAACACAUGCAAGUCGAACGGUAACAGGAAGCAGCUUGCUGCUUCGCUGACGAGUGGCGGACGGGUGAGUAAUGUCUGGGAAGCUGCCUGAUGGAGGGGGAUAACUACUGGAAACGGUAGCUAAUACCGCAUAAUGCCGCAAGACCAAAGAGGGGGACCUUCGGGCCUCUUGCCAUCGGAUGUGCCCAGAUGGGAUUAGCUUGUUGGUGGGGUAACGGCUCACCAAGGCGACGAUCCCUAGCUGGUCUGAGAGGAUGACCAGCCACACUGGAACUGAGACACGGUCCAGACUCCUACGGGAGGCAGCAGUGGGGAAUAUUGCACAAUGGGCGCAAGCCUGAUGCAGCCAUGCCGCGUGUAUGAAGAAGGCCUUCGGGUUGUAAAGUACUUUCAGCGGGGAGGAAGGGAGUAAAGUUAAUACCUUUGCUCAUUGACGUUACCCGCAGAAGAAGCACCGGCUAACUCCGUG
rnacentral:rRNA from 1 species